UUAACUCACCUUUGUGUAUUUUUGGAGCGUUAGCCUACGUUUGCCGCUAGGGGCGCUGUUCCAACUGCAUACAAAUUUGAGUUC
rnacentral:pre_miRNA from 1 species